UCAGGAUGAACGCUGGCGGCGUGCCUAAUACAUGCAAGUCGUACGAGGGAAGUCCAGCUUGCUGGACGGAACGAGUGGCGAACGGGUGAGUAAUACGUAAGCAACCUGCCUGCAAGGACUGGGAUAACACCUGGAAACGGGCGCUAAUACCGGAUAGGUAACAAAGGGGCAUCCCUAUGUUAUUAAAGGUUAGAAACACAAGCAGAUGGGCUUACGGUGCAUUAGCUAGUUGGUGAGGUAACGGCCCACCAAGGCGAUGAUGCAUAGCCGGCCUGAGAGGGUGAACGGCCACAUUGGGACUGAGACACGGCCCAGACUCCUACGGGAGGCAGCAGUAGGGAAUUUUCGGCAAUGGACGAAAGUCUGACCGAGCAACGCCGCCGUGAGUGAAGAAGGUUUUCGGAUUGUAAAGCUCUGUUGUAAGGGAAGAACAGCACGGAAAGAAUCCGUGAAUGACGGUACCUUACCAGAAAGCCACGGCUAACUACGUGCCAGCCGCCGC
rnacentral:rRNA from 1 species